rnacentral:rRNA from 1 species
UACGUAGGUGGCAAGCGUUGUUCGGAAUUACUGGGCGUAAAGCGCGCGUAGGCGGCUCUUCAAGUCAGACGUGAAAGCCCCGGGCUUAACCCGGGAACUGCGUUUGAUACUGUCGAGCUAGAGUGUGGAAGGGGCGAUUGGAAUUCCGUGUGUAGCGGUGAAAUGCGUAGAUAUACGGAGGAACACCAGGGGCGAAGGCGGAUCGCUGGGCCAACACUGACGCUGAAGUGCGAAAGCUAGGGGAGCAAACGGG